AGAAUUCGAAGCAGGCACUAGGCUCUGAGCUAGAGUCCAGUUUGGGGAUCAAACUCACCAAUCGCAAGAUCAUGACCUGAGCCGAAGUCAUUCAACUGACUGAGCCACCCAGGCACCCCUGACUUCAUUGAUUUCUGAAUCCCUGCGCCCCAGUGAUGGAGUGUGUGCACAGGGCUGCUCAGGUUAACUUCCUUUCUGGUGGGUGCUUGGGCUGGGCUGGGUGCUGUGGGUAGCAAAAGCAGAAAGAGGGCAGACCAGCUAUAUUUUCUCGUGCCUUGAAAGCUCUAUGUUCUUACUAUAUUUGUAUCUAGCCCACCAUUUCCUGUUUCUCCAACGAUUCGAAAAAUGGAUUUGGCCCCAUACUUCUAUCCCAUGUCCCUUAAAAGAACAAGAAGGAUGUGUACAGAUGUCCCUACCCUGGAGUUUCUGGGAACAGGGACAUCAUGUGCUUUUCCAGGGUCAUUUGCAGAGAAAUGGACUUUUAUAGGCACUAAGCAGCAUCCCCUAUAUGAGUUUGGCUGAUAGUUUUAGAUACGGGAAUUUUGGUUAGUUGGUUCUCAGGAACUGAGAAAGGUCUGAGAUUUGGCCCUCUUGUAAUUUAACAAGUUAGUCUGCCACAGCGUCGUGGAUGCUGGCAAAGACCAGAGACUCCCGAGGGGGAGACAAAGGCCUUUAUUACACGUGGCCAUAUGGGCAACUUUUUGUACCCCCAAGCCCCAGCCUUCAUGGGUGACACAAACAGGACCCAGUGAUGCCUGCCCAUGCAGUGGGAUGUGUCACAGGAGAGGACCUCUGAGCUUAGGGAUCUCGAAUCUUUUGCAGUGUGCUCUGAAGGGCCUCUCCCAAGGCUGUGCACUAGAAAUCCUUGAAAAGAUAUUCCAGAACAAAGACUGAUUGGAAGUCAGGUGAUUCCAGUACCGCUGAUUGGAAGACAGGUGAGCCACCUGUAGGAAAUUGCCAGGACCCCCCAAGUACGUCAGUAAUAACAGGGAAUCGUCCUGGAGGUGUGGAUAAAGCUGAACACUGAGGGAGACCACGGGCUUUAUGACAUUUUCUAGGACCCAUCUCCAGUGUAACAAGUGGCCUUGACACUCAGAAAUGUGCACCUGUUAUGUGUGAAUACGGUCAAGGUGAAAAGGCAUCACGUGGAUUUCAGAAGGCUAACUGUUGUGCUAGUGGGGUACCUACAACUAGAAUCAUGGAUUCACUGGAAACCUAGAAUUGGAAGAGCCUUGGAGGUCAUCUAGUCCAAUUUCCUCUCAUACCAGUGAGGAGACAGAGAGGAGGAAGUGAAACAAAGAGAUAUUGUCUGAAAUCACAGGAGGUCAACCACAGUUCCGGGAUGAGCUUCCAGAAGUCUGCGUACCAGGCCAAUAAACACUUUGUCGCUGAUGUCUCCACCUUGAAUGAGAAGAGAAGAGGGAGUGUGACCGUGAAGACAGAGACAGUGGUGAUGCGGCCAUGGGGCAAGGAAGACUGAGAGCCACCAGGAGCUGGAAGAGGCAGGAACAGAAUCUCUCCUAGAUCCUCCAGUGGGACUGUGGCCUUCUUCAUACCUUGAUUUCAGUCCAGUGAAACUGGUUUUGGACUUCUGACCUCCACAAUGGUGAGAGAAUAAAUUUUGGUUUUCUCCUCCUGCAAAGACCCACUGAAGCUGGGUUGCUUGCUAUGGGCUGCCCUUUCACUGCUCCCAGCCUCAUAGUUUUGCCUCUCCUCCAAAUUGCUCACCUCCAUUUCUGACCCUCAAGGGCAGUAGCAGGGCGUGGGUGAAAAGAAAAGGCCAGGGAAAUUCACACUUGACUGACAGUCAGGAACUGGCAUUUUGUUCUCGGGUCUGGUGGGCGUUUAAGGCGGACGCAUUCCUUAGCUAUACUUUUUAGGCUCUUUAGAGACCUCCACUUCCUCUCCCGCUUCUGCUGGUGAUCUCUCACCUGCAGUUUCUUUUAGUGAGGGUGAUGUUCUCACUGUGGUUGGUUGCUUCCUCUUGCUCAGCCCGAGGCAUUUGGUGGGACCCCUGGCAUGUUUCUGCGCAGCACUACUUGCCUCUGUAGGCAGCCAUCUUGGAGAGAAUCUAAGAAGCCUUCCAUUGGUUCCCUUACGUGAGUCACCUGCAUCUAGUCCAAAAGAAUGUGUUCAGGCAAAUGUUCAGUGGCCUAACACCCUCAUCCUUUGCUCUGCCAUUGAAGCAGUCAGCCAGAUUUUCCAUGUGGGAGUCACAAU